AUAAUAAAGUUUUAUGGUGUUUUUGUUUGAAUCGGAGUUAGAUAUUGUUACGUUGAGUUUGUAUUCCAGUAAUGUUUCCUUGAUUAUUACUGAUAUCAACGUGAUAAACAAACAGAGUCUUACUAAAGGAAAGGAAACUGUUCCUUCCAAGUUACCCUAAGUUAUAAAUUAACUCCUCGCGUAAAAAAGAAGAAGAAAAAAACAUUAUUAAGAUACACUUUGUCUUAGGCGACAGAUAUUAUGGUAAAAAGUUCAUAAAGGUUUAUUACAAGAGGGGGAAUCUACGUCAUCACGCAGGGUGUCGGCGAUUGAAAUUGGACCACCAUCUUGUCGCUUCAAGGUAAGAAUUUUACUUAUCAUGCCAGUUAUAUGAGGGUUAUGAUUAUACAAAAUUGUCCAACAAAGACUAUAUAAAGUAGGAAAAUAAAUGAGCCAUCGAUCAAUAUUAUUGGUUAUCUCAAUUUUGCAAACACUUCGAUACCAGUUUUAGGAAUUAGGUCAAACAUGCAGGAUAUCGGCAA
rnacentral:lncRNA from 1 species